AGGAAGGCUCGUCCGCUCAGGGUUAGUCGGGACCUAAGCCGAGGCCGAAAGGCGUAGGCGAUGGGCAACAGGUUGAUAUUCCUGUACCACCUCCUCACCAUUUGAGCAAUGGGGGGACGCAGGAGGAUAGGGUAAGCGCGGUAUUGGAUAUCCGCGUCCAAGCAGUUAGGCUGGGAAAUAGGCAAAUCCGUUUCCCAUAAGGCUGAGCUGUGAUGGCGAGCGAAAUAUAGUAGCGAAGUUCCUGAUUCCACACUGCCAAGAAAAGCCUCUAGCGAGGUGAGAGGUGCCCGUACCGCAAACCGACACAGGUAGGCGAGGAGAGAAUCCUAAGGUGAUCGAGAGAACUCUCGUUAAGGAACUCGGCAAAAUGACCCCGUAACUUCGGGAGAAGGGGUGCUCUGUUAGGGUGCAAGCCCGAGAGAGCCGCAGUGAAUAGGCCCAGGCGACUGUUUAGCAAAAACACAGGUCUCUGCGAAGCCGUAAGGCGAAGUAUAGGGGCUGACGCCUGCCCGGUGCUGGAAGGUUAAGAGGAGCGCUUAGCGUAAGCGAAGGUGCGAAUUGAAGCCCCAGUAAACGGCGGCCGUAACGAUAACGGUCCUAAGGUAGCGAAAUUCCUUGUCGGGUAAGUUCCGACCCGCACGAAAGGCGCAACGAUCUGGGCACUGUCUCAACGAGAGACUCGGUGAAAUUAUAGUACCUGUGAAGAUGCAGGUUACCCGCGACAGGACGGAAAGACCCCGUGGAGCUUUACUGCAGCCUGAUAUUGAAUGUUGGUACAGCUUGUACAGGAUAGGUAGGAGCCUUGGAAACCGGAGCGCCAGCUUCGGUGGAGGCAUCGGUGGGAUACUACCCUGGCUGUAUUGACCUUCUAACCCGCCGCCCUUAUCGGGCGGGGAGACAGUGUCAGGUGGGCAGUUUGACUGGGGCGGUCGCCUCCUAAAAGGUAACGGAGGCGCCCAAAGGUUCCCUCAGAAUGGUUGGAAAUCAUUCGCAGAGUGUAAAGGCACAAGGGAGCUUGACUGCGAGACCUACAAGUCGAGCAGGGACGAAAGUCGGGCUUAGUGAUCCGGUGGUUCCGCAUGGAAGGGCCAUCGCUCAACGGAUAAAAGCUACCCCGAGGAUAACAGGCUUAUCUCCCCCAAGAGUCCACAUCGACGGGGAGGUUUGGCACCUCGAUGUCGGCUCAUCGCAUCCUGGGGCUGUAGUCGGUCCCAAGGGUUGGGCUGUUCGCCCAUUAAAGCGGUACGCGAGCUGGGUUCAGAACGUCGUGAGACAGUUCGGUCCCUAUCCGUCGCGGGCGCAGGAAAUUUGAGAGGAGCUGUCCUUAGUACGAGAGGACCGGGAUGGACGCACCGCUGGUGUACCAGUUGUUCUGCCAAGGGCAUCGCUGGGUAGCUAUGUGCGGACGGGAUAAGUGCUGAAGGCAUCUAAGCAUGAAGCCCCCCUCAAGAUGAGAUUUCCCAUUCCGCAAGGAAGUAAGAUCCCUGAAAGAUGAUCAGGUUGAUAGGUCUGAGGUGGAAGUGUGGCGACACAUGGAGCUGACAG
rnacentral:rRNA from 1 species